rnacentral:rRNA from 1 species
GACCAAAGGGGGCGAGCGAAAGCGGCUCCCGCUGAAGGAUGGGCCUGCGGCUGAUUAGCUAGUUGGUGGGGUAGCGGCCUACCAAGGCGACGAUCAGUAGCCGACCUGAGAGGGUGACCGGCCACACUGGGACUGAGACACGGCCCAGACUCCUACGGGAGGCAGCAGUGGGGAAUAUUGCGCAAUGGGCGAAAGCCUGACGCAGCGACGCCGCGUGGGUGAUGAAGGCUUUCGGGUCGUAAAACCCUGUCGGGUGGAACGAAUCUCCGCCUCGCUAAUACCGAGGUGGAUUGACGGUACCACCGAAGGAAGCCCCGGCUAACUACGUGCCAGCAGCCGCGGUAAUACGUAGGGGGCGAGCGUUGUUCGGAUUUACUGGGCGUAAAGAGCGCGUAGGUGGUUCGAUGAGUCGGAGGUGAAAUCCCUCGGCUUAACCGAGGACCCGCGUCCGAUACUGKCGAACUUGAGUGCAGGAGAGGAGAGCGGAAUUCCCAGUGUAGCGGUGAAAUGCGUAGAUAUUGGGAGGAACACCGGUGGCGAAGGCGGCUCUCUGGACUGUCACUGACACUGAGGCGCGAAAGCUAGGGAGCAAACGG